CCCGUCUGAGUGCUUUUCAAUGUGGAAUGAGGAAGAGGGGGAUGAUGAAGGGGUGAUAGGCUGGUCACUGAAGAGGUUCUCACACAGCAGGCUUCGACACAACUUCUUGAGGAAGCGCAGGACGUAGCCAACACUGUUUACCACAGCCCUCAGUGAGCAGGGUGAAGACGGCUUUCUGCUGGAAUGCACUGUCAAUGCAGCCCUGUACUGCCUGCUGCAGCACCACAGAGGGCCUCGCCGGACCUAGAUGAUCCGGCAGCUGCAGCACCUUCUGCCUGUCUAGUGAUGGAUGUUAUUGCCAAAUGGGAGGGAAGCCCGCCAGGACCACAGGGUCCUGACUUCAAAGAUGAUGAGUGUGUGAGUGUGUGUUGAUCCAUCACAUAGAUCAGCACCUGAUAUUGACUACACAUAAUGAAAUGUAUGCAUUCUACAUCAAUACAUUUCAAAUUAAUGACACAUGAAAGGGAGCAGUUUGUUGUAAAGUGAUUUCUAUAAGGUUAGAAUAAGUUCGAAGCUUGAAAACAAAUAAAACAAAACAGAUUAAAGUCAAAUUAAAGUAAAA